rnacentral:rRNA from 1 species
AACGAACGCUGGCGGCAUGCCUAACACAUGCAAGUCGAACGAGACCUUCGGGUCUAGUGGCGCACGGGUGCGUAACGCGUGGGAACCUGCCUUUAGGUUCGGAAUAACUCAGUGAAAUUUGAGCUAAUACCGGAUGAUGUCUUCGGACCAAAGAUUUAUCGCCCUUAGAUGGGCCCGCGUUGGAUUAGCUAGUUGGUAGGGUAAAGGCCUACCAAGGCGACGAUCCAUAGCUGGUCUGAGAGGAUGAUCAGCCACACUGGGACUGAGACACGGCCCAGACUCCUACGGGAGGCAGCAGUGGGGAAUAUUGGACUAUGGGCGAAAGCAUGAUCCAGUAAUGCCGCGUGAGUGAUGAAGGCCUUAGGGUUGUAAAGCUCUUUUACCCGAGAUGAUAAUGACAGUACCGGGAGAAUAAGCUCCGGCUAACUCCGUG